GAAGGGCGGCAAGGACUGUCUGUGAGCCGUAGCACUGACUUGGAGUGGAGUGCUGAGCUGUUCUCAGGGGUAGAAGGUGAUUGUGCCUUCUGAAGACCAGGGUGCGAUUGAUGGAGGAGCCCCAGGAGGGCAGCUCUGACUACUGCCGUUCCCAACAUCGUGGGUGCUGCUGCUGAGGAGGCCCGUGCACCUCUGGCCCUCACCAUUGCCCUUGCUUCCCAAUGGCCUCUGCUGCCAGGCCGGAGGCCAGCACUGCUGCCUGAGCCCGCUGCCCCUCUCCAGGACUCGCCGUUCCCUGAUGGGGUAACGUGACAGACCGGACCAGAGGCUGCCUGCCUACCAC
rnacentral:lncRNA from 1 species